GCGGUUUUUGUGGAUGUUCUUUGUCCGUUUCAACUUUUGCCCUCCAAGCCCGUCUCGCGCGGAGAGGAAACAAAAACGUGUC
rnacentral:telomerase_RNA from 1 species